rnacentral:rRNA from 1 species
GAACCUUACCUAAGCUUGACAUCCCAAUGACAUCUCCUUAAUCGGAGAGUUCCCUUCGGGGACAUUGGUGACAGGUGGUGCAUGGUUGUCGUCAGCUCGUGUCGUGAGAUGUUGGGUUAAGUCCCGCAACGAGCGCAACCCUUGUCUUUAGUUGCCAUCAUUAAGUUGGGCACUCUAGAGAGACUGCCAGGGAUAACCUGGAGGAAGGUGGGGAUGACGUCAAAUCAUCAUGCCCCUUAUGCUUAGGGCUACACACGUGCUACAAUGGGUAGUACAGAGGGUUGCCAAGCCGUAAGGUGGAGCUAAUCCCUUAAAGCUACUCUCAGUUCGGAUUGUAGGCUGAAACUCGCCUACAUGAAGCUGGAGUUACUAGUAAUCGCAGAUCAGAAUGCUGCGGUGAAUGCGUUCCCGGGUCUUGUACACACCGCCCGUCACACCACGGGAGUUGGAGACGCCCGAAGCCGAUUAUCUAACCUGUUGGAAGAAGUCGUCGAAGGUGGAAUCAAUAACUGGGGUGAAGUCGUAACAAGGUAGCCGUAUCGGAAGGUGCGGCUGGAUCACCUCCUUUCUAAGGA